UACGUAGGGGGCAAGCGUUGUCCGGAUUUAUUGGGCGUAAAGAGCGUGUAGGCGGCCAUUCAGGUCAGCUGUGAAAACUCGAGGCUCAACCUCGAGACGUCGGUUGAAACCGUUUGGCUAGAGUCCGGAAGAGGAGAGUGGAAUUCCCGGUGUAGCGGUGAAAUGCGCAGAUAUCGGGAGGAACACCGGUGGCGAAGGCGGCGAUCUGGGUCGAUACUGUCGCUGAGGUGCGAAAGCGUGGGGAGCAAACAGGG
rnacentral:rRNA from 1 species